rnacentral:rRNA from 1 species
CUUGACAUAUACCGGAAAGCAUUAGAGAUAGUGCCCCCCUUGUGGUCGGUAUACAGGUGGUGCAUGGCUGUCGUCAGCUCGUGUCGUGAGAUGUUGGGUUAAGUCCCGCAACGAGCGCAACCCUUGUCCUGUGUUGCCAGCAUGCCCUUCGGGGUGAUGGGGACUCACAGGAGACCGCCGGGGUCAACUCGGAGGAAGGUGGGGACGACGUCAAGUCAUCAUGCCCCUUAUGUCUUGGGCUGCACACGUGCUACAAUGGCCGGUACAAUGAGCUGCGAUACCGCAAGGUGGAGCGAAUCUCAAAAAGCCGGUCUCAGUUCGGAUUGGGGUCUGCAACUCGACCCCAUGAAGUCGGAGUUGCUAGUAAUCGCAGAUCAGCAUUGCUGCGGUGAAUACGUUC